CCCUUAGACGUUCUGGGCCGCACGCGCGCUACACUGCCCAGUGCAACAAGCAUCCGUCCUUGGCCGACAGGCUCGGGCAAUCUUUGAACGCUGGUCGUGAUGGGGAUAGACUUUUGCAAUUUUUGGUCUUCAACGAGGAAUUCCUAGUAAACGCAAGUCAUCAACUUGCAUUGAUUACGUCCCUGCCCUUUGUACACACCGCCCGUCGCACCUACCGAUUGAAUGGUCCGGUGAAGCCUCCGGAUUGGCGCGCACCUCGGUGCCGCCGAGAAGUUGGCUAAACCUUACCAUUUAGAGGAAGGUGAAGUCGUAACA
rnacentral:rRNA from 1 species